rnacentral:rRNA from 1 species
UACAGAGGGGGCGAGCGUUAAUCGGAAUUACUGGGCGUAAAGCGUGCGUAGACGGUUAUUUAAGUCGGGUGUGAAAGCCCCGGGCUCAACCUGGGAAUUGCAUUCGAGACUGAAUAGCUAGGGUACGGUAGAGGGAAGCGGAAUUUCCGGUGUAGCGGUGAAAUGCGUAGAUAUCUGGAGGAACAUCAGUGGCGAAGGCGACUUCCUGGCCCAAUACUGACGCUCAGGUGCGAAAGCGUGGGGAGCAAACAGG